CACCUCGAAGGGACGACAACGGCGACUAGGACGUCUUCCUCCCCCAGCGACGGCGACGUUCUUCGCCACCGCCGUGGUCGGGCUGCGGCGACCAGCAGAGGAACUCCUCCGGUAGAGGGGGAGCCCUCACUUGCUUCCUUGUCCACCACGAAGCACACACAGGCAGGGGAGGAGCCGCGCCGUCCAACCUCCACUGCCGCCCGAAGCCGGCAAAUCAUCUGACGCAGGCAGUUGAAGGGGCCAGGCCAUGGAGAGGCUGCAGGGCCAUGGACAUGCCGGAGAGGAGGACAUUCUUGGCCGAUGUAGAAGCUGCGGGAGAGGAGAGCAGUUUCAGUCAUGCAGCCCUCCUCCCCUCCCCUUAUCUUCUUCUUCUGGAUUUGUUCUGAUCCGUGCGUUUGGUUUGUGCAGGCCAUCACCAAGCUGCUGCCGGUGUGCCACCAAGGUGCCUGAUUUGGGCAGCUCGACAGCGGUAAGCAACCCCAGCCCGCUCCACCGAGCGCACCAAGGUGCCUGAUUUGGCACCUCGACGACGACGAGCAGUCCCACCCUGCUCCACCGAGCCCACCAAGGUGCCUGAUUUGGCAGCUAUGGAGGCCAUCACUAAGGUCCUGCGAGUUUGAAGGAGCAGAAGGUCCAAGGGCCUGCCCACCAAGGCCGCCAAGCCCAACUAAAGAGAGGAAGCUCACCAGCGAGUUGAUUUUGAAUGUCGGCCACUACAACUGAGUGAUAGGAGGAGGUCCAGCAGCUGCAGCAGCCGCAGCUCAGGUUCCUCCCUCUCUUGAGGAGGUCCAGCAGUAGCAACAACUCACUCCGGUGGCCUGGCUUCGCAGGCCCUCCUCCCGCACGUAAAUCAGCGUUGUCCCGUGUCCGACCUCAUAGCCUCUGAGUCCAUGCUCGCCGUCACCAACUACCCAGAGCCCACCCUCCUCUCAAGCAACAAUGCAGGGGUGAUGGCUACACCUUUCUCCCUCAAAGGAUGGCAAGAUUGCAACCAACCAUGUCGGAGCUCGAGGUCUACAAAAUUUGAAGUUCGAAACCAUAUAGCUCUACUCAGCAAAGAGUCGUCUCUUCUGUUUUAUUGUAAUAGAAUGUAAAUAUUGUAAUAUUGUAAUAGUAGGCAUAUCUGGGUU